UACGAAGGGGGCUAGCGUUGUUCGGAUUUACUGGGCGUAAAGCGCACGUAGGCGGAUCGUUAAGUCAGGGGUGAAAUCCUGGAGCUCAACUCCAGAACUGCCUUUGAUACUGGCGAUCUUGAGUCCGGAAGAGGUGAGUGGAACUCCUAGUGUAGAGGUGGAAUUCGUAGAUAUUAGGAAGAACACCAGUGGCGAAGGCGGCUGACUGGUCCGGUUCUGACGCUGAGGCGCGAAAGCGUGGGGAGCAAACAGG
rnacentral:rRNA from 1 species